rnacentral:sRNA from 1 species
UUUUACUUUAUCAGGUAUACAAAAGGGACUAGAUCAUAACCCGUGCUGGAUAGCACGGGCAUUAAUAUUUUGUAUAAAUUAAAUUGUAUUCUUUGUUUGAAUUACAUAAGAAAUAGUAUAGUAUAAAAGUGAUGCCAUAAUAUUUUUCAAUGUUUUUACUAUUUGCAUAUAAUGCUGCAUUGAAUUGACUUUUUUUAAAAAUGUUAUUUUUAUAAUAAAUACAACAUAUGUAGUUUUAAGUAAAUGUGUAAAAUUUAUAUACAAGUUGUUUUGGUAAGAAACAUGUUUCUUUUGUAUUAUAGGAUCUAAUUUUUGGCCUAACUUAAAAUUAGUCUUUGUAUAGUAUUUUGGUUAUACUAUUUGUGGACCUAAUUGGGGCCUAUAUUAGAUUAUCUUUGAUAGGGCUGACGAAAAAACGGACCUGAUAACCAACCCAAUAAUUGAACCAAAAACAGGGUUAGGGCGGGUUAAAAUUUUAGGAAAUUUCCUUAUUGGGUAGAGUUUUAGUAAAACCGUGGAUAUCCGAUUGGUCCGGAAAUUACUCGUUAUCCAAAAAGAGUAUUCAAAAACCCAAACAUUAAUUUAAUAUCCAAAAUAUUAAUUAUAUUUAAUCGUAAUAUUAUCUAAUUAUCUAAGAUUAUAAUUAUAAGUCUAAAUAUGUCAAUUAAUUUUGGACCUAAAUAUCCAAAACAACUAAACUAUUCAAAAAUUAUUUGUUAUGUUUGUCAAAAUUUAGUAAAAUAUAUUCAAAUAUAAUUAAAUUUAUUAAAACUUAACAAAUGUAAAAGUUUUUUUUGUUUGAAGACCCGCUAUCUACAUACAAAUUUCCUGUUUCUAUUUUUUUGGGUAUUUUUUGGGUCUGAAACUUUUUAUCCAAACUGACCCAAACCCAACUGGAUCCGACCCAAACCAGAACGGAAUAUUUAGAAUUAUUCUAUUGGGUAGUAAAUCAUAUACCCAUUAAUCCCAAACCCAAACGGGUUCUACUCGAACACGAAUGGGUUACUCAUAGGCUUAUAUUUUAGUUAAACUAAAAACUUUUAUUGUAAAGAUGAUUAUAAAUAUAUGAUAUUAUUUUAUUUGAUUUUAAAUGCAUAGUAAACUGCGAGUUGUAUAUGUUUUGUUGAUAUUAUUUAUAUUGUUUAGUGUUUAAAAUUAUACACUUGUAUUUUGAUUGUUAAUUUUAGAGUUUCACCUCUAGUAUACCAUCUUGUAUUAAUAUCGAUUUAAACCCGUCAAUUCUACGAUUUUCCAGCUUGUAUUAAAAAUUGAAUCACAUCAUACACAUAAAAAAAUCUAAUAUGUUAUUAAUUAUUGUAGUAUAUAAGAUUAUAAAUUUUUAAAAUAAUAUGUAUGAAAUUGAAUAUAAAUAUUCAAAUUAUGACUCAUUACUCAGUAGAAAAUUUUCUUAAAUCUAUUUUUGACCCGUUACAAUAUUUUUUUCAUGUAUUGAACAGUUUAUAUUCGUUUUUAAAAAUUCAAAUUAUGGCAAAUGCGAAAAAACUAUAAUUAUUUUUUAUAACGAUGAUAUUAUCUUUUCGCAAAAAUAGAAUCAUAUAAAGAUGAGAGGUGAACUAUAAUAAUUAUU